rnacentral:rRNA from 1 species
GACGAACGCUGGCGGCGUGCUUAACACAUGCAAGUCGAACGGAAAGGCCCUGCUUUUGUGGGGUGCUCGAGUGGCGAACGGGUGAGCAACACGUGAGUAACCUGCCCUUGACUUUGGGAUAACUUCAGGAAACUGGGGCUAAUACCGGAUAGGAGCUCCUGCUGCAUGGUGGGGGUUGGAAAGUUUCGGCGGUUGGGGAUGGACUCGCGGCUUAUCAGCUUGUUGGUGGGGUAGUGGCUUACCAAGGCUUUGACGGGUAGCCGGCCUGAGAGGGUGACCGGCCACAUUGGGACUGAGAUACGGCCCAGACUCCUACGGGAGGCAGCAGUGGGGAAUAUUGCACAAUGGGCGGAAGCCUGAUGCAGCAACGCCGCGUGCGGGAUGACGGCCUUCGGGUUGUAAACCGCUUUCGCCUGUGACGAAGCGUGAGUGACGGUAAUGGGUAAAGAAGCACCGGCUAACUACGUGCCAGCAGCCGCGGUGAUACGUAGGGUGCGAGCGUUGUCCGGAUUUAUUGGGCGUAAAGGGCUCGUAGGUGGUUGAUCGCGUCGGAAGUGUAAUCUUGGGGCUUAACCCUGAGCGUGCUUUCGAUACGGGUUGACUUGAGGAAGGUAGGGGAGAAUGGAAUUCCUGGUGGAGCGGUGGAAUGCGCAGAUAUCAGGAGGAACACCAGUGGCGAAGGCGGUUCUCUGGGCCUUUCCUGACGCUGAGGAGCGAAAGCGUGGGGAGCGAACAGGCUUAGAUACCCUGGUAGUCCACGCUGUAAACGGUGGGUACUAGGUGUGGGGUCCAUUCCACGGGUUCCGUGCCGUAGCUAACGCUUUAAGUACCCCGCCUGGGGAGUACGGCCGCAAGGCUAGAACUCAAAGGAAUUGACGGGGCCCCGCACAAGCGGCGGAGCAUGCGGAUUAAUUCGAUGCAACGCGUAGAACCUUACCUGGGUUUGACAUGGAUCGGGAGUGCUCAGAGAUGGGUGUGCCUCUUUUGGGGUCGGUUCACAGGUGGUGCAUGGCUGUCGUCAGCUCGUGUCGUGAGAUGUUGGGUUAAGUCCCGCAACGAGCGCAACCCUUGUUCACUGUUGCCAGCACGUUAUGGUGGGGACUCAGUGGAGACCGCCGGGGUCAACUCGGAGGAAGGUGGGGAUGACGUCAAGUCAUCAUGCCCCUUAUGUCCAGGGCUUCACGCAUGCUACAAUGGCUGGUACAGAGAGUGGCGAGCCUGUGAGGGUGAGCGAAUCUCGGAAAGCCGGUCUCAGUUCGGAUUGGGGUCUGCAACUCGACCUCAUGAAGUCGGAGUCGCUAGUAAUCGCAGAUCAGCAACGCUGCGGUGAAUACGUUCCCGGGGCU